CUGAGUCAGCAGGCUCAGGGCCUGGAAGUCAGUGAUGGCUUCAUCACCACUUUGCCUUCUGUUUUUCUUCCCAUUUGUAUUUCAGCUUCUGACUAUGGAUUGUUUCUUUCGGAUGAAGACCCCAGGAAAGGGAUUUGGCUGGAAGCGGGCAGAACACUGGAUUACUACAUGUUGCGGAAUGGGGAUAUUUUGGAAUAUAAAAAGAAACAGAGACCUCAGAAAAUCCGGAUGCUGGAUGGAUCUGUGAAGACAGUGAUGGUGGAUGAUUCCAAGACUGUGGGGGAGCUCCUGGUCACUAUUUGUAGCAGAAUAGGAAUAACAAAUUAUGAAGAAUACUCCUUAAUCCAAGAAACUAUUGAAGAAAAGAAAGAGGAAGGAACAGGCACACUCAAAAAAGACAGGACACUGUUACGAGAUGAGAGGAAAAUGGAGAAGUUGAAGGCUAAGCUGCACACAGAUGAUGACCUAAAUUGGCUGGAUCACAGCCGAACAUUCAGAGAACAAGGAGUAGAUGAAAACGAAACGUUGCUGCUUAGACGGAAGUUCUUUUACUCUGAUCAGAAUGUAGAUUCGAGAGACCCCGUGCAGCUGAACUUGCUUUAUGUUCAGGCUCGGGAUGACAUCCUGAAUGGCUCUCACCCUGUCUCCUUCGAGAAAGCUUGUGAGUUUGGUGGAUUUCAAGCCCAGAUACAAUUUGGACCUCAUGUGGAACAUAAACACAAACCUGGAUUUUUAGAGUAAAUGACAUUUUGUUUCUCUUUUUUCUCUUUUCUCCUGUCUUCUUUCUCUUUCACCUUUUUAUUUUUGAGCUAGGUAUCUAAGAUCAUACCCUAAUUUCAAUCAGUUGUGAGAAUGCUAGCUUUUCUUCCAUCAAGUAGAUGACCAAAUUUGCAGAUUUUGGGGAAAGCAAUAGAAAUUCAGAAGUUUUUCUUGCUGAAUAGAAAUUCAGUGAUCUGUGUCUCCCUCCACCCCCUUUUUUUCCUUCUACUUCGUCUUAGUGAAGAGGAAAGUAA
rnacentral:sRNA from 1 species